GACGAACGCUGGCGGCGUGCUUAACACAUGCAAGUCGAACGGAAAGGCCCUGCUUUUGUGGGGUGCUCGAGUGGCGAACGGGUGAGUAACACGUGAGUAACCUGCCCUUGACUUUGGGAUAACUUCAGGAAACUGGGGCUAAUACCGGAUAGGAGCUCCUGCUGCAUGGUGGGGGUUGGAAAGUUUCGGCGGUUGGGGAUGGACUCGCGGCUUAUCAGCUUGUUGGUGGGGUAGUGGCUUACCAAGGCUUUGACGGGUAGCCGGCCUGAGAGGGUGACCGGCCACAUUGGGACUGAGAUACGGCCCAGACUCCUACGGGAGGCAGCAGUGGGGAAUAUUGCACAAUGGGCGGAAGCCUGAUGCAGCAACGCCGCGUGCGGGAUGACGGCCUUCGGGUUGUAAACUGCUUUCGCCUGUGACGAAGCGUGAGUGACGGUAAUGAGUAAAGAAGCACCGGCUAACUACGUG
rnacentral:rRNA from 1 species